rnacentral:rRNA from 1 species
ACAGCAGUAGCGGUAAUACAGAGGGUGCGAGCGUUAAUCGGAUUUACUGGGCGUAAAGCGUGCGUAGGCGGCUUCUUAAGUCGGAUGUGAAAUCCCUGAGCUUAACUUAGGAAUUGCAUUCGAUACUGGGAAGCUAGAGUAUGGGAGAGGAUGGUAGAAUUCCAGGUGUAGCGGUGAAAUGCGUAGAGAUCUGGAGGAAUACCGAUGGCGAAGGCAGCCAUCUGGCCUAAUACUGACGCUGAGGUACGAAAGCAUGGGGAGCAAACAGGAUUAGAUACCCCUGUAGUCCCUGUCUCUUAUACACA